rnacentral:misc_RNA from 1 species
UUUCCGUAGGUGAACCUGCGGAAGGAUCAUUAUUGUAUAACCGAGGUGCGAGGGCUGUCGCUGACCCGAAAGGUCGUGCACGCCCGAGUGCCCUCACACGCAUCCAUCUCACCCCUAUGUGCACCACCGCGUGGGUCCCCCUUUGGCUUGUUCGGAGGGGGGCUUACGUUUUCACACAAACUUUGUAUGCAGUGUAGAAUGUAUUUUUUGUUUUUGCGAUCACGCAAUCAAUACAACUUUCAACAACGGAUCUCUUGGCUCUCGCAUGAUGAAGAACGCAGC